CUUGCUAGGAGUAGGGAUAGGUUCUCAUACAUCAGUGUGGACAAGAUUAAAAGGUGAAGAAGAUAAAGAGUUUCUAUUAUUAAAAGAUAAAGCCCUUUGUUUUUCCAAUUGACAAGAUACACAAUCAACAGAGUUUAAAUUAACUCUUCCAAAAUAACCAUUAGACGAUAAAGACUGAUUACGAGAUAAAUAUUUAUGACAAAGAUGAGAAUGCUAAAGAUUGGAAGAGACAGCAGUUGCAAAAUGUUGGAUAAAACAUGAAUCGGGAAUCGCAAAAAGGAAAGCUCAAAAAACGACCAACUUUAAGUCCUGUCCCAACUAGCGAGAUUCGUGUUCCAAUCCUGCACAUCAUACCUUUGUUAGAAAGAUUAAAACAAGACCACGUUCAACAAGUUGUCCAACAGAAAGAGAGCUGAUCCCAAUGACUUCUAACCUGAGAAUGAAAAUAAGCAAUGGAUUGACUAAGCUCCUGAUGCAAAUGAUACAAUUUUGACACCAACAGAAAUUGAAGAGUAGCAUCACUAGAACAAUUGUAUUGAUUUCCCAAAUUCUCUCGUUUGGCUCAGUUUUGUCUCCAAGAGUUUAUUUAUUUUUAAAGAGCACAUUGUACUAGUUGGAGAGCAUUUAUAAAUUUAGAGAGUUAAAAUUUUGAAAUAUUCCAACAAACUCUUUAUAUUUAACUCUUAGCCCUCGUUUAGCCCCCAUUAAUUUUAAUUUCAUUACAUUUCAUUUUUCUCUCUCUUAUUUUCAACUACACAAUCUUCCAUAAAAUAAUAUUACACGUAAAUCAAAAUUUUUCCUUCUUUUUCAACCACUCGUUUUUCAAAAAAAAUAUUAUUCCACCCAUUUUCAUUUUUACAAAAUGGGGGCCAAACGGGGGCUUAAU
rnacentral:lncRNA from 1 species